UGUGCCUCACUGAGAGCUGCUAGCGCGACUAUACCGUGGCUUUGCUUCCUGCCCAAGUGGAUAGUGCAAGUGGUGAUGAGUAAUUUUUAGUGUUUCCCACAGGCUCCUCUGUAUAGUCUCUCCCAUGGCUCUUUUGUCCUUUCUUUUGUGUCUGUCCCUGAAACCAGGUGCAGAAAUGACUUGUACAGCCCACAGCCCUUCAGAAAGUAAAUAACAUCCAGGUGGUGUUUCAUUUGCUACUAUGGCAAGCACAAAGGUAUUGCGGUGAUGGUGGUAGGAGCUGGAGGAAGAAAGGAGGUCAGUGUGGGUGAUGAGGUCUAGAAGAGGUUGCAUUUGAAAGAGAAACAGAUGAAGAUUUUUGCCAAGCUUGUAGAGGAAGACUCGUGCAUAAAUUAGCCCAUAAUAAUCUGUGAAGAAAAACCUCUCAAGAUUUAGAGGUGUGGGUUUUCAAAGAGAUGAAGAGGAUAAGGAGUUUUCUGUUACAGAGUGAAGGUGGUUAAGAGUUUUCCAAUAGUGCUGCAGAAAAAAGAAGAGCUUGAGGAGGAAGAUGAGAUUGCUUUCUGCCCCCCACUUGGUAAGAGGGUACAGAGCAAAGUAGGAUGGGGGUUACGCCGGAAGCUAAAUAUUUCUCAUGUGAACUACUUGACACAGAAAUUCUGUAUGUUGGUGUAUUUCUGGGUCAUCCAGUCUAAUCUGUUGUAGGUAGAAGUGUUGUAGAGUUUCAUAAACUUUCUUUCAACAUGAGUAUUUUCAAAUCAUGCAUGAACAAAACAAAACGAAAAAAAAAAAAACCAAAACCAAAAACAAACAACAAAAAACCUCAAGCCCCAGGAGUUGCCCUGUUUCAGAAUGCUACUGAUAUGUUUGCACAAGUAACCAGAAUUUCUGUGGAACAUGCUAAGCAGAUUUCACUAGAGAUUUAUUAGUAACGUGAAAUUUUCCCGUAUCUUUUGAAAAUAGCUACUGAGAGGCUGUGUUUGCCUCUUCUGUGGCCUUAUUCGAGAUCAUGAUUUGCAUAGAUGCCUUGUGACCUAAGUCUGUCUUUUCUGUUUUUAACUGAUGAGUUCCACGUUGUGAAGGAAGACUGUUUGCAUGUGCUCACUGCUGCUUAGCUUAUGGUUCAGGAGAUGAUACUGUCUGUGUGUAUGACCGAGGAAGGGAUUGUUAGCAGAAGUGAUGGGCAGCUCUGACAUCCUGCUUCCAAAGAUACGUCAUUUCUUGGCCUUCUUUGCUGGCAUCCGAGAACUGACACAAACUGGAAUUUUUAUUCUCUUCUACUGAAACAAAGCAUUAGAACUUAAAAAAGAUUUGUUUCAAUAACAGCGUGUUAGCCUUAAGGAAUGCUGAAACUGGUCUAGGACAACUGCUUUUAGAAUAAAUUGGCUAACUCAGCAUGUGACUUUAGGAAAUGAACAGUUUCUAUUUGUAUAGCAAAUACAAGAACUUCACUGUUUUGACUUGAGUUAUGAAUGUCAUGUAUCUAACAAGACCUCCCAGCUCUUGUGACUUGGUUUACAUGGAUCACUUGACUGUAAGUUAGAUGACUGACAGAUAAAAAUGCUAGUUGUGAUGAUAUUAGAAAUUAUUAUACCUCUUGAACUUCAGCUUUCUCAGCAGAUUCAAGAAGAAAAAAAGUACAGAAACCUUUUAAAUCAAAACUAGUUGUUAAGAAAAUCCUGUGAAAGUCUUCAAAUCAACUGGUACUUCUGUAUCUGAAUUUCUUAAUACUGUUUUGUUACACUUUUAUGAGCACAGUUCUUUCACUGAGCAGUGAUUUUUUUUUUUUUUUUUUUGUGUGUGUGUGUGUUUUUUCUUUAGAAUUUAUGAAAUAUUUAUGUAUCUAAUAAGAUUGUCUGAAAGGGAUGGAAUGUUAUAGUGUUAACUGACCUUUGCAAAAUUGGUGUCAGUAGGUGAGUUGGGUUUUUUGAUUGGUGUGGAUUUUAUUGUUUUAGUUUUUUAAAUUUUACUUUAUUUUAUUGGAAAGCAGAACUGACUUUUCUGGUUGUAAGAGAGAUUGGAGGAGCUGAGGUUGCUGAAAUAGUGGAUCUCUGAAGGGCAUUAUUCACGUUUGCUUCUGUCUUUCCUGCGAUUAGCAGUUUCCAAAUAAAUAUUUUCAGAUGAGGCUACUGCACAAUUGCUUUUUUCUCCCUCAGUUGUCAUCUGCUUUCUACAAAGUUCCUGAUCUUGCAGUACUCUAGGGUCAUUUAUCUUGGAGAUGAAACCACACUGAGGUCAGGCUUUCCAAUAGGCAAAGCAACAGCUCUAGUGCUGGGAGUGUUCGGUCGCUCACUUCAGGAUAAGGGUUCUGGGCUAUAUAAGAGCACAGAUACAAACUAGGGAGAGUCUCGGCCAGUAUGGCUUUAAACAUGUAUUCCCAUAAACUGGGCCUCACGUGUGCUACGAUUAUUUUUUUUGUUCAUUCCCUGCUGACUUAAGUAGAAGAUGCUAUUGAUUGCUUUUUGCAGUCAAGUGAAAAUAAAUGUUGUAUGCAGUUGAUUUGGGGGCAGAAGAUGGAUCUGCUGGAAUGGAAACUACAUCUGGAGAAAAGAUGAAAAGGAAUAUGCACUGAAGCAAAUUGAAGGUACAGGGAUAUCCAUGUCGGCCUGUAGAGAGAUUGCACUUUUUCGAGAGCUGAAG